rfam:Colletotrichum chlorophyti strain NTL11 CCHL11_scaffold257, whole genome shotgun sequence.
GCGGACAUAGCUCAGUUGGGAGAGCGUCAGACUGAAGUUAACUUCAAUCACUUAAUCUGAAGGUCNUGUUCAAUCCACACUGGCCGCA